AAGGGAAGGAGGCUUUACAGAGCACAUACAGGGCAGACUGCUCUGCCUCCCAAAGGGAGGCAAUUUAAACAUGUCCCAUUCUGUUUUGUAUCGGUUGGAAGCGCUGAUAAAAGGUUUACUAGCAUGCACUUGAAGAUGGAGUUCAGAUAUCCAGGACGCUCCAGGCUUUGACCCGCGAUGGUGCCGCCUGUCAACAAAACCCAACCAGUAGCCGGAGGACACUGGAACCGUUCUAAUGAUUUCAUACUGAAAGAGAAAAAAUAAGUCACAAGACCAGUGAUCUCCAUGGCUGGAUUGGCUCCAAGAGAAAAAAUCCAUGACAAGAAUAGCUGGGAGUUGAGUCACUGUGCCCAGAAGUUCUGCAAACAUGAUUCAGGAGAGAUGGAAACCAAGGCACAGAACUACUGUGACUUUCCCAGAACCUCAGACCUAGACUGGUUUGCACCUUGAACUUGAUUCCAGGAUAUGGAUUCAUGAAAUGUUAGUCAUCAUAUUUCAUACUGAGAAAGGUCCUGGAAGGAUCAUCCAGACCAACGAUUUUUAUUUCUCUGAGCAUAAAACUGAGACCUGUUUUAUGAUUUAUCUAAUAUCACAAACAGUUGGUGACAGAAGUAGGAAAUACAGCUGAGGCCAAAACUCAUUCUGAACAGCAAAUGAAAACAGAUACUUUUGGCCGGGCAUGGUGGCUCAUGCGUGUAAUCUCAGCACUUUGGGAGGCUGAGGCAGGCAGAUUACCUGAGAUUGAGAGUUUGAGACCAGCCUGACCAACAUGGAGAAACCCCGUCUCUGCUAAAAAUACAAAAAAAUUAGCCGGGCAUGGUGGUGCAUGCCUAUAAUCCCAGCUACUCAGGAGGCUGAGGCAGGAGAAUCGCUUGAACCCAGGAGGCAGAGGUUGCGGUGAGCCGAGAUCGUGCCAUUGCACUCCAGCCUGGGUAACAAGAGCGAAACUCCGUCUCAAAAAAAUAAAAAAAAAAGAAAGAAAGAAAACAGAUACUUUCAUCGAAUCCAUUAUGUGCCAGGCACUAUUCUAAGAGCUUCACAACAAGCCUAUGAAAUAGGUGCUACCACUCUUUACAGAUGAAGAACGGAUGCAAGUUCACACAAGCAGUGCAUUUCAGAGUUGAAAUCAGAAACUAUAUAGUUUAGAUCCAGAGACUUGCUGCACUUAAGGAACACACUGAACAAGGGAAGUUCUAGAAUUGGGCAGACCUGGACUUCUGUCCUUGGGCAUAUCACUUAAGUUCUCUGAAUCUUCUCUUACUCAUCUGUUAAAUGGCCAUAUUUCACAUGAGUGUAAAAUGGAGUAAAUUAGGUAAGUCCUAUAAAGCCCUGAGCAAAAAUUCUCAAUCAAUAUUAGUGUUGAAUUAAGUUUCACUUAAAGCUGCCUCCUUGCAUAUUUUAAGUUCACCCUGACAGUUUUUCUGUACAUAGUAAACUAUAACCUAACUGGAUGUGUAAACAGACUGUAACCUACUCCUGUGCCACUCACAGUUUUGGCCAAUCAAAGGUGGCCAACCAUUCAAACCAUGUUAAAAUAAGGCAAAUGCUGGGCUGUAACCAACACUUCCAUUUCUGUACCUCACUUCUGUUUUUUAUAGGUCAUUUUCCUUUUUCUGUCCAUAAAUCUUCUACCAGGCAGCUGCACCGGAGUCUCUCUGAGGCCACUCUGGCUCGGAAGUCUGCCUGAUUGGUGAAUAAUUCUUUGCUCAAUUAAACUCUACUAAAUUUAAUUUGUCUAAGGUUUUUCUUUUAACAUUAGCUACUGAUGUCACUAUUAAUAUUAGCUAGUGAUGACAACAGUUCUCCGGAAUCCACCCUAGUCCUGUGGUCAUUUUUAGAUUUCUGGUUCUCUGACCACUACAUUGCUAAUCCUCCUUCUAGUAAAUUUUCAUCUACCUUGAACUUCCUUACACACUAUUCCCCCUAAACGUUGUUCCAGUUGAGUGCCCAGCCAGAAAGAUUAAAGCUCUCCCUGCUGAAAUCUCCUUUCCCUCCAGCAGGAAACCAGUGUAGUUAUGUUGUUUGUACUUGCCAGGAUACACUUCCAUUUCAUAUUUGCAAGUACACAUAAAGGUAUCCUUCAUCAGCAGCACAGUGCUUCCUUUCCUCUGAAUCUGCCAUCAGCUCAGGCAGAUUUCUAAGCAGCAAAUCAGCCUUUGCCAGAACACUGCAGGACACCAGUGCAGCGCCCAGCCUGCGACCAUGAGCUCGCCUGCACCCAGGUGAUUAAAAAGCUUUAUUGCUCACACAAAGCCUGUUUGGUGGUCUCUUCACAUGGACGCGAGUGACAUUUGGUGCCGUGACUCGGAUCGGGGAACCUCCCUUGGGAGAUCAAUCCCCUGUCCUCCUGCUCUUUGUUCCAAGAGAAAGAUCCACCUACGACCUCUGCUCCUCAGACCAACCAGCCCAAGGAACAUCUCACCAAUUUUAAAUCGGGCUCUAGGGGAUGGUAGAGUCACAGGAUGGAAGAACUCUGUGUCCUUGAAUCAUUGCAUGGAAGAGAACUGGAAGUUGCCCAGGAACACCAGCCUUGGACAGUU
rnacentral:lncRNA from 1 species